AUAUUUCGGAACUGAGUCUAGUUCCUUCGAUAUCAGUGUAAUCUAAAUAUUAGAUUACACUGAUAUCGAAGGAACUAGACUCAGUUCCGAAAUAU